CCUCAAGCUAUUUUUGACGUAAAUCCAAAAAUAAAAUGCGUAAUAAUCUUUAUACAUUAAGCAUUAAACAAAAGUGUGUACACUAUUUUAAAAAGCUAAUCUUGAGUUUACAGCUGACAGCCCCACAACAAUAAUACCUGAGGCAUUAUGGACUCCACCUGUGACUGACUACGGGGCGCUGAAACCGACGAUAUUCUACCGUUCUGUACGGCCUGCUUUACCAAAACAACAAACACGCGAAUCGUAGAUUUAACACACAGCUACACACCCCCAGGAAACUCCACCCAAUCGCUAUAUAAUCUAGCACCUAAAGCGCAUCACAAUACUUCAAGACUCCGCAGAACUGUGGCUCAAGUACACCUCACAGAAUCACCCCAGCCCGAGAAGGCCGACUGGCCUGAAAACGAUUGGAUUCAAGAGCAUGCUCUCUAUGGAUACGCUAUACAAACCAUGCAGAAUCUACACAGCCAGAGGACCUUGGGAUAGGAACCGUGUUAUCGAGGAUUCCUCAGAAAAACAAGCAUCAAACAACCAGAGACUCCUCCCAGGCGUAUAUAGACACAGAAGGCACAAUAUGUCUAGAGGAAGAGGCCGAGGAGGAAGGCGGCGCCCAUGACAUACAGAGUAAAACAUCUAAACCCGAUGAUAAUUUCAACGCUGUAAAUGACAAUGAUGAGGAAGACGAUGUGUUGAUGUAUGAAGCCGCCAAACAGCUUGAUAAAGUCAAUUCUGAGGUAGAAACAAUAUUCAUUGAAGAUAGUCUCAAUGUGGACACAGAUCCUGAAAUUGAUCGUCAAGAUAGGUUUCUCACAGCCUUUUACAGGGCUCUAAAAGCCAGAGAGGUUCAGCUACACACACGUAUGGUUGCUUUACUGAGGCGUCAAUACAGUCAAGAUCUACACUUCUGGCAUAGAACAUAGAUUGUUAAGCAACAAUCUGAUAAAAAAAAAAAAACGCCCAAACAAGCGAUACAAUUUGUAUGUAACAUGGAUACUUCUAGAAUACCAACAUACCUCAUAUCCUUAAUUAACCAAAUAAAUGAGACAGGGCCAACCUCUCCAUCAAUAACUCAGACACAUGAACACCCAUUAUCACAGGUCCCCACGGAACUCAUAUCCUUAAUUAACCAAAUGAAUGAGAGCACAACAUCUUCAACACCCUCCCCCCCACACACACCUCCUUUAACUCCUAUGUCCGAAGACUGAGCAACCCCACAAUGUUUCUGAGGAAUUGGAAAAUUGUGUAAUAAAUCAGAGUGGUGAUCGUAUUGAUAGAUGUGUCCAUGUUGUGUACCGCAAUAAA